CNUGGGCCGUUACUGACGCUGAGGAGCGAAAGCGUGGGGAGCGAACAGGAUUAGAUACCCUGGUAGUNCACGCCGUAAACGUUGGGCACUAGGUGUGGGGGGCCUUUUCCGGGUCUUCCGCGCCGUAGCUAACGCCUUAAGUGCCCCGCCUGGGGAGUACGGCCGCAAGGCUAAAACUCAAAGGAAUUGACGGGGGCCCGCACAAGCGGCGGAGCAUGCGGAUUAAUUCGAUGCAACGCGAAGAACCUUACCAAGGCUUGACAUGUGCCGGUCGGCUCCGGAGACGGGGUUUCCUCCUUGUGGGGCCGGUUCACAGGUGGUGCAUGGUUGUCGUCAGCUCGUGUCGUGAGAUGUUGGGUUAAGUCCCGCAACGAGCGCAACCCUUGUCCCGUGUUGCCAGCACGUUGAGGUGGGGACUCGCGGGAGACUGCCGGGGUCAACUCGGAGGAAGGUGGGGAUGACGUCAAAUCAUCGUGCCCCUUAUGUCUUGGGCUUCACGCAUGCUACAAUGGCCGGUACAGAGGGCUGCGAUACCGUGAGGUGGAGCGAAUCCCUUAAAGCCGGUCUCAGUUCGGAUCGGUGUCUGCAACUCGACACCGUGAAGUUGGAGUCGCUAGUAAUCGCAGAUCAGCAACGCUGCGGUGAAUACGUUCUCGGGCCUUGUACACACCGCCCGUCACGUCAUGAAAGUCGGCANC
rnacentral:rRNA from 1 species